AGUUUUAAAAGAAUAACUCACACUUGAUGGAUACACUCGGAACAAUGUGAACUAAAUUAUUAAGCAAGGCUAAGCAAUUCUACUAUGUGCAAGAAUACUAAAUAAAACUAUUCCAGGUAUCAGGAGAAAGGCGACAAGUAGAUUAUGUCAUCAUAGUAGUGUCAAUCGACACAACUAGCUAUGGGAAUAAAAUAACAUGCAUGUUUAUAAAACAAUUAAAUAACUAGCUAAUGCCCAUUUGAAAACAUAGGUGAAAUAUGUUCAAAGAGAGGGGGGGGGGCCUCCGUUGAUGAAUCUUCUUCAACCUUUUGUCCUUGUUGCACUUCGUCACUCUCUAUUCAUUGUAAUGAUAACAAGAACAAACAAAAUAAAUACAAAAGCAAUAAAGCCAAGGAAAUAGAAAUAAGAGAUCAGCGAAUAGACAACGAGGGCCAAGAAUUGGUUUGGAAAGGCUAGGAAUAACUUUGAUAGGAUUGGGUGGCGGGACAGAUUCUAACAAAGAUAACUAUAUACCCGAAAAGAAGGAAUAUAGUUUGAUUGGUCAUACCCUUUAGUAUAAUAAUAAAUACUAAAGUAUAAAUCUAUGCUGCCACUAUUAACCAAAUAACUCAACCUAUAUAUGUAGACACUCUACGACAAAAUCAAUGCACCUAUCAUUCUAGUUUGCAAUCAUCAAUCAACUCCUAUCAUACUAGUUGAACAAGAAAUGUGUAUAAUAUACAAGCUAGCAUGCUGCAGCAGGAAUGAGACCAUUACAGAGAAGGUAAAGCUAAUAGUGAUCUCUACACAUGAUAAAAAUAUAAAAACAGUACUAGUUCUAAUUCAAGUUAAGUUUAAAUACAAAGCAUGAUUUCAGAGGUAAUUAAUUAAACAAUCACAGCAGAUAAAUUAUAAGCUAGUAAAGCAUGCCACAGAUGAUUCUAUACAAGUAAAGAAAGCAUAUGAUAUCUGACACUUAAUUAAUAAAUGCGUCUCAGCUAUAUAGGAACCACACAACUCAAAUAUAUAUCAUGCACCACAUGCUGAUGGAACACAUACGCAUCGAGAAAUGCAUGCAACAUACAACAAUCCAACUAGCACAAGCAUGGAAUUAAUAACAAGUAUUAGCAGAGUGCCCGUGCUUUGCUACGGAACAAAAAAAACAAUAGGAAAAAACUAUUAAAAAAGAUAGAUUAUCAUAAAAGCAAUGCCAAAUUCAGCUUAUGAAUUCAACAAAUUCAAAUUCUUUUUUUUUCUUAUCGGCGGGAGUAACUCGUAAAGUCUAACUAUCACAAUGUACUCAUUAACAUGUCAGCGUCGGUAAAGUCAAUUUCUUGAAAGCCCUUGUAACAUCGACUGCAUAAUGCUACACAUUUGACACAACCUGCUAUUAUACACAAGGUCUGAAACUCAUUUAUCAAUGCCGUGUGUGCACGCAUGUGCUGGUCUUAAUUACUUUACCAAGCCAUCCAAGUGGUUACUUACAUCCAUUAGAAAGAAUCCUUACUUUACAGGUUAUUUCCUCCGAUCCUAAAUUUGAACUAAAACAAUGACAAGAAUUUAGAAUCGGAGGAAGAAACAUAAGCUUUCUUUACCUCUAUCUCUAACACUUUUUCUCUGAACCUUAAAUUCUCAAAGUUUCACCUGCACUCUCUCCCUCACUGGACAAAAUUGAUCGACCCUUGCUUUCUUUGUUUGUUGGUCAGCCAAUGGUAACACAAAGCAUCUGAAGCAAUUAGACAGAAAAGUCUUUUAACAAAACAGUUAUUUGAAGCAACUGAUGGGGAUAUGUAAAUGACAUACGGAGUAAAAUUUAUCAUAGAUUGUAUUGAAAUAAGGUACUAUCGAAGGCUCAAGAUCAAGGUGG
rnacentral:lncRNA from 1 species